rnacentral:piRNA from 1 species
UUCUUUGCCAAAUUUCUCGAAAGAGUCCAUG